rnacentral:rRNA from 1 species
CAGUACCACGGGAAUACGAAGGGUGCAAGCGUUACUCGGAAUUACUGGGCGUAAAGCGUGCGUAGGUGGUGGUUUAAGUCCGUUGUGAAAGCCCUGGGCUCAACCUGGGAAUUGCAGUGGAUACUGGGUCACUAGAGUGUGGUAGAGGAUAGUGGAAUUUCCGGUGUAGCAGUGAAAUGCGUAGAGAUCGGAAGGAACAUCUGUGGCGAAGGCGACUAUCUGGGCCAACACUGACACUGAGGCACGAAAGCGUGGGGAGCAAACAGGAUUAGAUACCCGUGUAGUCCCUGUCUCUUAUACA